CCCAGCCGCUGUCGCGAGCCUCUCCGCCGCCGCCGGUGCCGUCCGCCGUCGCGAGCCGUCGCUAGUGCCCUCCCCAGCCGCCGCCGCCUAUGCUCUCCCAGUCGCCGUCGUCCGUCUGCACACGCAAUGGAGCCGGCGGUGCGCGUGCAGCUGGCAGGGCUCGGUGAGGAUAACCGCCGGGAGGGGCUGUGCAGGCGGCCGUCACCCCAUCCGCUCCGUCCUCUCCUCGGGGCCCAGUUCGAGCUGGCGACAUGGUGGUCCCAGAUUCGCGGCGGAUCUGGCUCGCCCACCUCUUUCCCAAGAGCAAUUGAACAAGAAAAGGAGCAGUGUGGAAAUUGUUAUAGGAAUAAUUAAGAAGUGUUGUGAAUUAUGUAUAAGAAGCAAAGGAGCGUUCCCAGUCCACGUCAUGGUCUUGUACUGCGUGCGUACUUUUCUUCCAGUCAAGUUAUGGCUGAAUGAUUUUGACGAUCGACCAGUCCCGGCAUGGCACAUCAUUUUCUCCAUUAAAGAUAAUGGAUACGAGUAACCAUGAUGAUGGAUAUGAGUCAUGUACUGAUUCUGAAGAAGAGGAGGAGGAGGAGAUGAUGUUUCUUGUCUUCCCAACAUUAUAUUAUGUUGCUCGUGUUACUUAUCCAGAUGCUCUUUUCUAGCCCGAUCAGAUAUGUCUUGUUUCCAAGGAUUACUCUUCUGCCCCGAAGCUUCUUCUGCUUGAACUAUUACCGGGGAUUAAUCUUUCUGAAAUACUUUAUGUCUAGGGAGCCCCUGUCCCCCUUGCAGGGUGCAUAAGAAGUCAAGACGGCCGUCCUAUAUCUUCUGAAUGCCUUAAACUGAAGUGAAGUGAAACUUUUUUUGUUGCUUCGGAUCGCUUCCUCCUUGACACCCCGAUCUGGACGGCGGCAGCAGUGAUGGCGUCGACACUCGAGCGUGCCUACCUCUCCAUCUAUAACUAGCCCAUCUUCUUUGGAAGGGUGUUUGGUUUUCUAUGCCCCUUUGCAAGGCUGAAGUGGAGGAGGCUACCGAAGACGACUUACUUGAGUUCUCAAAAAUCCAAACACCUGACCUGGGCCAGACACUUCAUGUAGAUGCUUUAUCUGAGGUUGACAAUACCACGCAGUCGCUCCUUUCGUUUACUCGCAAUAAGUGCGUUCAUGGCUUAUAUGAUGUCUUAUUGAACUACAAGUAUUUCCUGAAUUCAUUAUCUGCCACGGACGUCCAGGUGCUAUACUCACCGGCGCCAUUUCAAAAUGGCUGCCUCCAUAUUCCGGAGGUAGUUUCGAAAUUAUGACCCAGCUGUAGACGGAUCAACUCCAAACAUGAUUACGCUAUAUAUAUAUAUAUAUAUAGAUGUUCUAUGUAUUAUGCUAUUUAUAUGGAUGUGCUAUGGAUUAAGGAUGUUAUAUAUAUGAUGUAUGGAUUAUGGAUGUGUUAUAUGCUGUAUGGACUAAGGAUGUUAUAUAUAUGAUGUAUGGAUUAAGGAUGUUAUAUAUAUGAUGUAUGGAUUACGGAUGUGUUAUGUACUGUAUGAAUUACGGAUGUUAUAUAUAUGUUGUAUGGAUUAUGUUA